CCUGAAUCUCUCCCAGGGGUAUCAAACCCAGCUCCUGUUGUCUUCCCCUGGGUUUCUGGCAGCCCUUGGAUGACCCAUGGUGGAUCACAGGGCAGAGAAAAUGGGAAAGUGAAAGAGCAUCACAUGUACAGCCUGGGAAGAGCACAAAGACAGCCAGGCAGCCAUUGCAGGGGUUUGGCACCUCGUUCAGGAAUGAGCACAUGCAGGUAGAAUGUUAUUCUGCUGCUCCUGCUGAGCACUUAGCAGUUCAGUCUCUGCUGAAUCCCAAAGUCGAGCAAAAAGCAGCUGGUUAAGGUGGAAUUUGAAAAUCAGUCAUA